CCCUGCAUAGAUCAAUGGUAGAUCGCCUUCUCAAAUUCCGCAAAGAAUCUCCUCUUCUGAAGGAAACAGAGGUUCGAUUCCUCCUGCGGGCA